GAAUCUCCCGGGCUACACGCGGGCUACAAUGGUUGGUACAAUGGGCAUCGUACCCCGAAAGGGGAAGGAAAUCUCUUAAAGCCAAUCGUAGUUCGGAUUGAGGGCUGCAACUCGCCCUCAUGAAGCUGGAAUCCGUAGUAAUCGCGUUUCAACAGAACGCGGUGAAUACGUCCCUGCUCCUU
rnacentral:rRNA from 1 species